UUUAUUGCACAUUUGACUCCUUCUGGUGAAAGCUUCACAUAUACACAUUCUCCUGCCAAACACCAGGAGACUAAUGGCCAGAUCAUUUGUAUCAAACAAGGUACUGGAUUAUGACUACUGCUAUGUCUCCUAAUGAUAAUCCAGCUGGGCUAACUAGUUUACUACCAUGAUAUUCCCUAUAACAACUCACUGCAUUUCUCUAUCCUGAAUAUUCACUUUCAGAACAAUUACAAUUGCCAAUCUUGUUACCUCCUUGUGUUUCCUAGUUUCACCAAUAUCUUGACAACUUCCAGAGAGACAUAUAAAGAGUAUUCUAAUCAAUACAAAGGCUCAGGCAAGGACAUCAAAGUGGGAGACUUCUUUUAGUUCCCUUCACUACAAUUUUAUACUGAAUACCCUUGCCAAUUCAUAAACAUUCAUUCAAGUUUUCAUGCUUUAUGUUUCAUCCUAUUAAUUUCUCCAACCCAAGAAGGAUAAUACAAGUAUAACAUGAAAAAUAUGCUGUAAUCAUGGUGAGACAGUAGCCAGCUUGGGUACCUGGUUCCCUGAAACGUGUACAAAUUACAAAAGCAGUCAUGUUAACUGCCUACCACCUCAGGAAUGCACAAGAGAGCAUUAGGGCUCUCUAUGGGUAAACCUGUAAAACCCCAGACUCUGUCUAAGGAAGGGUAUCUUGGGGACAAAAGUUCAUCCAAACUCAGCCUCUUCAAUGGACUCACUUGUGCGAGCAAACACAGACAAUUAGCUAGUAAAAAGUCAGCCAUGGAUUAAUGCUCUUUUCUCUAAAAAAUAUGCACCACUUCUCUUGUUUAGACCUACUGUUCCUUGUUUCCAACAUCUCUGAACCCCAUUUGGCUUCACACCUUUGCUUUUUGAUCCUCAACUCAUGACUACUUAAAAGCUUGAUGAGUUAAUUUGGACGUGCAUUUCUGGCUUGAAUGUUUCCCCUUCUUUCAGACCUGAUAGUCUGUAUUCUUACUCCAGAUCUACACAGCAUAAUUGCAGGAGUUUCUGACCAGAGCUGCCAUUCAUCAGAUCUGCAAGGGGGAACAGCCAGUCAGCAUGCCACUACAUCCUAACAGCUGGCCCAGUAACUAUCAAGAAGCCAGUCUCUAGAGCAUCUGGACACUUCUGCAUAUGGCCAUAAACACUAAUUCUGCAUACGGCCAUAAACACUAAUUCUCUAGUAGCAUGUCCAGGAAGUAAGGAAGGACCCUAAUCGGUCACUGUAUACAUGUUCUAAUUCAGAAAAAUGAGGGCUGGAACACAAGAGAAAAGGUUGUGUUGCAGGACAAAGUGGAGAGUAUGUCAGGCAUGGUGGAAAAAUAGAUUUAAAUAUAUAAACUGGAAAUUAAAGGAAAGUGUGCAUAAGGUGGAGUCGUAGGAAAAAACUUAAAAAGACAGGUGGCAAUAUUACACAUUUCUAUUUUUUUCUAAACUAUAGGAAUGUUUCUUAAGUGCCCUUCUUAAGAGAGAAGGUAUUUUGAAUGAGUGGUGGAUUUUAAAUGGGAUAUUUAAAUUCAUACUUUGUAGGAUCUGAGAAGCUGUCAUGGAUUGACCAGUACUUCUUUUAUCUCUUUGAUUCUCUCUCUCUCUCCCUUUUGUCCAAAUAACAUUAAGCCUCUGUUAUGGACUAUUUUUCUAAUAAAAAUGUAGUUCUAGGAAUAUCACUUUUCCUUGGGAAAUGCUCUUAUAUAAGAGAUGGUUCUUUAGAGUCUCAGCCACUUGAAGGAUCACAUUUAGUUCAGGAAUUUUAUUUUGUUUUCAAGUUUUCAUGAGAGUGGGACUGAUGUUAUAUUCUUACAUACUCUAAUAGCUGCUCUUUAAACUUUAGAAAGCUGAGACUCACGAAAGACUUUGGAGAUGCUUUGUCACUUCCAGUGGGAGAAAUAUCAGUGUGCAGUUGCUAAAGAGACCCAAAAUCAAACCAAUUUCUUGAGAAUGAGAUCACUCUCCCUGGAAUUAAAUAUUUUAAAUGAAAGCUAUAUUUAAAAAGUUUUGUAUAUAUGUUGGGACUUUAUCUGGAGGAUUAAGAGCCGAAUUGACAGUAAGAAGAAAUUUGUAUAGAAAUACAUUAUUUGAAAUAUGUUUUUGUUAUUAUCUACUGGAGGUGUAGAUGCCAGAAGGGAAAUUUUUGGUAUCUGAUCAGAAACUUUGAAAAUUAUAGGACACAUGAGAGAUCUGGGGUUUAAAUAAUAUAGCAGCAGGGCUCAUUACUUAUACCAGAAGGCACCCUAGUCUACAACUGAAGGAGGGACCUGGGCUCAAACCAGGAUUUUUUUAAAAAAUUUUAUUGGCAUAUAGUUGAUUUACAAUGUUGUGUUAAGCAAAGUGAAUCAGUUAUGCAUAAAUAUAUAUCCACUCUUUUUUAGAUUCUUUUCCCAUAUAGACCAUUACAGAGUACUGAGUAGAGUUCCCUGUGCUAUACAGUAGGUCCUUAUUAGUUAUCUGUUUUAUAUAUAGCAGCAUGUACAUGUCAAUCCCAAUCUUCCAAUUUAUCUCUCCCCCCCACCCCCCAGUAACCAUAAGUUUGUUUUCUACAUCUGGGACUCUAUUUCUGUUUUGUAAAUAAUUUCCUUUUUACCCUUUUUUUAGAUUCCACACGUAAGCAAUAUCAUAUCAUCUUUGUCUUUCUCUGUCUGACUUACUUCACUCAGCAUGAAAAUCUCUAGGUCCAUCCAUGUGGCUGUAAAUGUCAUUAUUUUCUUCUUUAGCUGAGGAAUAUUCAUUUGUAUAUAUAUGUACCACAUCUUCUUUAUCCAUUCCUCUUUCGAUGGACAUUUAGGUUGCUUCCAUGUUAUGGCUAAUGUAAGUAGUGUUGCAAUGAAAAAUGGGGUGCAUGUAUCCUUUUGAAUUAUGGUUUUCUCCAGAUAUAUGCCCAGGAAUGGGAUUGCUGGAUCAUAUGGUAGCUCUAUUUUUAGUUUUUUUAAGGAACUUCCAUACUGUUCUCCAUAGUGGCUGUACCCGUUUACAUUCGCACCAACAGUGUAGGAGGGUUCCAUUUUCUCCACACUCUCUCCAGCAUUUAUUGUUUGUGGAUUUUUUGAUGAUGACCAUUCUAACUGGUAUGAGGUGACACCUCAUUGUAGUUUUGAUUUACAUUUGUCUAAUAAUCCCAACCAGGAAUUUGAAAAGUUGGAUCUGAGAAGACUGAGAAGAUAAUGGUGAGGCAGAGGGUGAGGGAAGAAAACUGAUUCUUUGUAAAUAUUUUGGGCAUUUAAUUUAUUUUUGAAGAAGUGGUUGAAUUGAUAGAAGGGAAUUAAUAGUUUUAAAUGUUAGAGGAUGGAGGAUAGUUGACAUUUUAUGCCGCUGUCAUAUGUUGUUUGGUUUUGAUGAUGCUCUUUUAGAGUAUAAAAUAUAUAACCUUUGUAGUGAGAUUUCUGGGGUGAAGGGUUGUAUUGUUAUUGAAGGAGAAUGUCAUUAGUAUUUUAAAUUGAUGUCAUUAUAUUAUUUGAAUUAUAAUGAUUCUGUUAUAUUCUGAACAACAUAUAUUAUUCACUGUUGAGCUUUGUUGGAAAGGAAGGAUAUUUAUAUAGUUAAAUGUGAGGGGGAAAUUUGUGGCAUUUUAGAGUGAUGCUAUCAUAUUAUAUGCAGUAUAAUGAUGCUUGUGCAAUGUAUAACCUUGUCACUUAAGAGUGGUGGAUUGAGAGGGCUUGUAUACUUAGUACUUAUACUGGUAUCUAGUAGUAGAAAGCAUUUAAUAAAUAUUUGUUGAUUGGA